UACGGAGGGUGCAAGCGUUAUCCGGAUUCACUGGGUUUAAAGGGUGCGUAGGUGGGUUUGUAAGUCAGUGGUGAAAUCUCCGAGCUUAACUCGGAAACUGCCAUUGAUACUAUAGAUCUUGAAUACUUUGGAGGUAAGCGGAAUAUGUCAUGUAGCGGUGAAAUGCUUAGAUAUGACAUAGAACACCAAUUGCGAAGGCAGCUUACUACACAGUUAUUGACACUGAGGCACGAAAGCGUGGGGAUCAAACAGG
rnacentral:rRNA from 1 species